rnacentral:sRNA from 1 species
UUCCACCGUAUCAUGCAGAGUAUCUUUG